GCCUGUGUGUUUAAAUGGCUGCUCCAUAUGCUCACAUGAUUCAAUCUGCAACCGUUUUGCGCAAGAGCAAUCUGUAUCUUUCGCGCUAUGACUGCGGCAAAUACAAUGGUAAGAGGGGACGUCCUCAUGUAGCUUUGCCUCAAUCCAGCAAUCAGAGAGAAACAUUUCCAUCGACCCCAAGGUUGAAUCACUUCUAGACAGCGUGAAAUGGGACAGCAAAGGUUUGGCGGUGGCAAUAGCUCAAAACGUGGACACAGGAGCCAUACUCAUGCAAGGCUUUGCCAAUAGAGAUGCUCUCGCUGCAACCAUAUCCUCUCGCAAGGCAACAUUCUAUAGCCGCUCACGGUCAACAUUAUGGACAAAGGGAGAGACCUCUAAUAAUUUCAUUAAUGUUCUUGAUGUCUUCCUUGACUGUGAUCGUGAUUCUAUUAUAUACUUGGGAAGCCAGAUGGGCCAACCUGUCAUACUGGGUCAGAGACAUGCUAUUAUACGUCAGUCUUUGACUUGUUAAAAGAGCAAGAGGCCAAAGGAAGUAGAGAUGGCUUUAACCUCAUUGUAUGCAUUAGAGUCAACAAUCUCCCAGCGCGAAGCAGAGUUAGCAGAAGGAGAAACUGGAAAGCCUUCAUGGACAAAGCGAUUGCUGCUGGACCAUAAUUUGCUGUGCUCUAAAAUCCGAGAGGAGGCCGAUGAGUUGUGCCAAACACUCGAGAACAACGAGGACAAGUCACGAGCUGCCUCAGAGAUGGCAGAUUUACUAUAUCAUGCCAUGGUUUUGCAGGCAAUUAAAGGAGUGAAAGUAGAAGAUGUUUUGGAGGUUAUUCGAAAAAGAUUUUCUCAAUCCGGCAUUGAGGAAAAGAGAAGCCGGGCGUCUAAAAAAUCAGAGGAACAUUGAAGGUCCUGUCAAAUCUGCUUCUGAAACACCAUUUUGAGUCUGUGGUGACUGUUGAUGGGAUACAGCAUUCAUGGACAUCAGCAGACAGGUUCACUUUGUAGGGAUAAUGUUGUCGUAUUGUGGUGUACAUUUUGUGUUCUUUACUUGUUGUUAAUGUGAUUGUUAUCGUCCCGAUUCUCCCUAGAUCAGUUUCACACAUUUUAAAGGCUUUGAUAGGUGACUUAAUUGGUUGGCUUGGAUGCUUAUUUAUGGAAUGCUGUAGUAUCAUGAUUUCUUAUUUUAAGAGCAAGGGUGUUGGGAGU